rnacentral:lncRNA from 1 species
CUUUUCUUAUUUUAAAUCUUGAGUUUUGGUGCCAAGUUUUCUGUGUGUGAGGCUCUGUUUCUGGCUUAUAUGUUGGUCAUUAUUAUUUGCCAUUGUUUACAUCUAAAAAUUAAAACGCACAGGAUUAAAUCUAACUUGUGACCAAACUAAAUGUUUGUGUACUUUAAAGGACCUAAAUCUCUGUGUAUGGAGUUUUCAGCAAGCACGUGAAGUUGUCACCAUCC